UGCACCCCCAGUUCUGUUCCGCUUAUAGAAGGCGGCUCUGCGCGGUGUAACUCAAUACCUGCUUCGCCGUGAUCUGCUCUAGAAGGCAGUUCAGCCUUCCAGAAACUUACGGGUCGCUCGGCCGGGAGAACUCGCUCUCUUCUCGUACUAGCAGUCACCUUUCCCCCAGAUCGCCAAGAUGACUCGGGAGGAAAGUCCGAUCUCCUGAGCCUUUUGCUCAGCUCGAGCGCGAAGCAGGCGCCCUCUUCUAAUCGCAGUCCCUACCCUGAAGUAAGCCUGCAAUGCUCCAGGAUCUGCCCGUUAACCCGGCUGCCUCCCUCCGUCUACCCUCCCCACCCCUCCACUUUUGCUCGUUCUCCCAUCUUCACGAGUCUCUUCUAGUUUUGAAAAAGAAAGGGAGCCAAUUAAAUCAACUCUGCUCCAGCGGAGUCCUGCCUCCUACCCGAUUCUCCCGGCCUCCCCAGGGCCAAUUAGAGAAAACAAAACAAGGCUGACAGAAAACGGAUCUAUCUGGUUAUAUUUCCCCCCCCCACCUCCCCGCUUUUUCAUUCCUUUCCCCUUCUGCAAGGAAAUGCCAGGAAUCGGCCGAGGUUUCAGCCGUCCACGCUAAAACCCACAACGCGGUCGGGUGCACCGCUUCGGCGCCCGGCCUCGUUCUCUGGAAGAGCGUCGCGGGCGGAGAGCCAGGCCGGAGGAACAGACCGCGGCGGCGGCGACUGUGGGUGUCUGGGCUCCCCAGCCACCGCGAUCUAUAGGCGAAGAUCCGAGGCGACCAUUUCGCCGUUCGAGGCCGUCGGGGGAGGACUUCUCUCAGUAGGCAAUUCUGGCAAUGGAGCAAGUCCUUCCAAAAGGCUCUGUAGCCAGAGUCACCCGCCUUCCUCGCAGGUGGGCGUCUGGGCAGGAUUAUGCAAGAUGUCGUGUCCCGGGUGAACAGAGCAGAGCAAAACUCCUGGAACGCCGUCUGGCUGGUCCCUUCCUUCAGACUCUCUAGGUUUGGUUUCCAUUUUUCAGGAUUUUAUUUUGCAACUUUCCUGCUUCCAGCGAUUCCCCCUUCUCCUGUUCAUUAGGUCAAGAGGAUUCUCCUCCCCACAAUCCUAUUUUAAUCUUUUUAUAAAUGAACGUUUUAUAUUCCACAUCCGAGAUGAGGGAAGUGUUAAAUCAAAAUUUCCUCAAGGAACAAACCCUUAAUUUUCAAAUUACACCAAGAUCCCAUUUUAAAUGAUCCCAUUUUAGAAUGAUGGGGUGAAGAUGUGCAGACAGUGUAAGCGAGGCUGUUAAAAUAUUAAUCAAGAAGUGCCUACUUGCUUUACAGAAACUGAUGAUGCAGAAAUAGUUCCGUUAAGUUUUACUCUCUACCCAGCCCAAAUACAUUUCCUGAAAUAAUUGAACUCCCAUCAGCCAGUCCCUGUCUUAAAAUAGCGCUGUAAAGCAUUAUUUUCUCCCAUCACAAUAAACGGAUUUGAGCUACCUGCAAGUAAUGGGGAAUAUAUAUUUCAGCAUGAGACCUUGUGAUGGUGAGGAAAUGGGGCUGUUAUUGCAAACGUUUAUUCUUUCUACUGAACUCCUAGCAGUGAGGAAAUAGAUAUUUUUGAUCAUUGUGCAACUGAGUAUCUGGAGGUGUGUUAUAGAUACACUGAUUAUUUCCCACUUUUUCUGUAACAAGCAGCAUCAGUCCACCUGGGUUUGUUGUUCUUGUUUUUUGCACAAAUAAAUAAGUCACAAGACAUCUGGGGUUGA